GACGAACGCUGGCGGCGUGCUUAACACAUGCAAGUCGAACGGUGAAGCUCCAGCUUGCUGGCGUGGAUCAGUGGCGAACGGGUGAGUAACACGUGUGCAACCUCCCCCUGACUCUGGGAUAUGCCCUGGAAACGGCGUCUCAUACUGGAUACGAGAUGGUUCCGCAUGGGCACUUUCUGUAAAGUUCUUCGGUUGGGGAUGGUCUCGCGGCCUCUCAGCUUGUUUGUGAGGUAGUUGCUGACCAAGGCGACGACGGCUAGCCGGCCUGAGAGCGCGACCGGCCACACUGGGACUGAGAGAGGGACCAGACGCCUAUGGGACGCAGUGGUGGGGAAUAUGGCGCAGCGGGCGAGAGCGUGAUGUAACGACCCCGGGUGAGGGAUGACGUCCUACGGGGGGUAAACCUAUUUCUGCAUAGAAGAAGCGAUAGUGACGGUACCUGCAGAAGAAGCACCGGCUAACUACGUG
rnacentral:rRNA from 1 species